UACGGGGGGGGCAAGCGUUGUUCGGAAUUACUGGGCGUAAAGGGCGCGUAGGCGGCCUGCUAAGUCGGACGUGAAAUCCCUCGGCUCAACCGAGGAACUGCGUCCGAUACUGGUGGGCUUGAAUCCGGGAGAGGGAUGUGGAAUUCCAGGUGUAGCGGUGAAAUGCGUAGAUAUCUGGAGGAACACCGGUGGCGAAGGCGGCAUCCUGGACCGGUAUUGACGCUGAUUCGCGAAAUCUAGGGGAGCAAACGGG
rnacentral:rRNA from 1 species